rnacentral:rRNA from 1 species
AUUGAACGCUGGCGGCAUGCCUUACACAUGCAAGUCGAACGGUAACGCGGGGCAACCUGGCGACGAGUGGCGAACGGGUGAGUAAUGCAUCGGAACGUGCCCAGUAGUGGGGGAUAGCCCGGCGAAAGCCGGAUUAAUACCGCAUACGACCUAAGGGUGAAAGCGGGGGAUCGCAAGACCUCGCGCUAUUGGAGCGGCCGAUGUCAGAUUAGGUUGUUGGUGGGGUAAAAGCCUACCAAGCCGACGAUCUGUAGCUGGUCUGAGAGGACGACCAGCCACACUGGGGCUGAGACACGGCCCAGACUCCUACGGGAGGCAGCAGUGGGGAAUUUUGGACAAUGGGGGCAACCCUGAUUCAGCCAUGCCGCGUGCGGGAAGAAGGCCUUCGGGUUGUAAACCGCUUUUGUCAGGGAAGAAACGCUCUGGGCUAAUACCCCGGGGUAAUGACGGUACCUGAAGAAUAAGCACCGGCUAACUACGUGCCAGCCGCCGCCGUAAAAC